rnacentral:rRNA from 1 species
GACGAACGCUGGCGGCGUGCCUAAUACAUGCAAGUUGAGCGAUGAAGAUUGGUGCUUGCACCAAUUUGAAGAGCAGCGAACGGGUGAGUAACGCGUGGGGAAUCUGCCUUUGAGCGGGGGACAACAUUUGGAAACGAAUGCUAAUACCGCAUAACAACUUUAAACAUAAGUUUUAAGUUUGAAAGAUGCAAUUGCAUCACUCAAAGAUGAUCCCGCGUUGUAUUAGCUAGUUGGUGAGGUAAAGGCUCACCAAGGCGAUGAUACAUAGCCGACCUGAGAGGGUGAUCGGCCACAUUGGGACUGAGACACGGCCCAAACUCCUACGGGAGGCAGCAGUAGGGAAUCUUCGGCAAUGGACGAAAGUCUGACCGAGCAACGCCGCGGGAGUGAAGAAGGUUUUCGGAUCGUAAAACUCUGUUGGUAGGGAAGAACGUUGGUGAGAGUGGAAAGCUCAUCAAGUGACGGUAACUACCCAGAAAGGGACGGCUAACUACGUG